rnacentral:rRNA from 1 species
UACGGAGGGAGCUAGCGUUGUUCGGAAUUACUGGGCGUAAAGCGCACGUAGGCGGCUUUGUAAGUUAGAGGUGAAAGCCCGGGGCUCAACUCCGGAACUGCCUUUAAGACUGCAUCGCUUGAAUCCGGGAGAGGUGAGUGGAAUUCCGAGUGUAGAGGUGAAAUUCGUAGAUAUUCGGAAGAACACCAGUGGCGAAGGCGGCUCACUGGACCGGUAUUGACGCUGAGGCACGAAAGCGUGGGGAGCAAACAGG